GGAUGCGAUCAUACUAGCACUAAAGCACUGGAUCCAUCAGAACUUCGAAGUUAAGCGUGCUUGGGCGAGAGUAGUACUAGGAUGGGUGACCUCCUGGGAAGUCCUCGUGUUGCAUUCC
rnacentral:rRNA from 2 species